UUCUAUUCGAUCCUUCUCUGUACAGGUAAUUCCUAAGUUGAUAGAGUAAACGUGGAUCAGCCCUAUGAUAUUAAAUGCUGCCAGAAUUGGAUUAUUUUUACCAAAAAAGCCUUGCAAUAUGAUUUCCUGUGUCUAAUAGCCUAGCUUGAAGUGACGAGUCGGUGGAGUAUGAAAUAUGUUUGUAUUGUUAAAUCUAUGAAUCAUUACCGGUAACUGAUUGUUGAUUGUGAAUUUUUUCACACAGAUAUUAUAUUGAUAUGCUGUUGUAAUUGCAGUUAUUUCCCUUGAGGGAGGUUUCUAACAUAAAAGCCACUCUCAGAACCCCAUUAUUCACUGUGACAUGUAACAUAUUGUAACUUUUUAUUUCAAGUGACUACAAAAUGGGACAGUUUGAUGAAUAAAGUUACAAUGGAUAUAACUGCAGUAUCUUAAGUGAAACAUUUAAAGAUGGUUGUAUAUUGUUAUAAAUAUUAAUAUGUAUAUAGUUACUUCAUUAGAAAAGCAGCAUUUUAAACUGAAAAAUUACUUUGGAGUGAAUUAAAGCUUCGGUGAGUGAUAAUUUGUGUUUUUUGUGUGCUACUAUUGUGGACCUGUGACCGUUGUGACUAUGUUAUUGUGGACCUGUGACCGUUGUGACCAUGUUAUUGUUUAAUUACCUGGUAUAUGGUGCCUCCUACCUCAAUUUGAAACAUGUUUAUGUAUGUUCAUGUGUUUUAUUUUAAUAAAUAAGUAUAUUUUUUUCAAAACAGUGAUUUUGUACAAUAAAGCUGGUCAACUAUUAAACAAUAAAUGUUUACCAUUUUAUAAAGUUAAGACCUAUUCUAAUUCUAGGCUCUAUGACAGAUUUGGAAAGACAUGCAUUCUUGAUAAUUUGUAAACAAUUUGAAAUUAAAAGAUAAAUUAAAGUUAUAUGUUUUUAAGAUAAGAUGGUAGACAUUACAUGUUUGAUAUUUGACAAAUCUUCAAGAUGAGUUUGUUUGUAGCAUCCUCACUUAAUUAAAGAUAGAUAAGUGAUGUGAAUCUCAAUGUGGUUACAAGUUUACACCUGUAUGUCCAGUGAAACAUUAAUAUGUGUGAUUUCAGUGACUAUGGUGUGGUAUAAACACUGUUACUUUGUAAAACUUGACAUAGAAUAAUGACCUCGAAGUUUGGAACCAAGCAUAGAUGGUUUGAGUUUUUGCCCGAUGGUCAUUUCGUAUAUUGGUGACACUAGAGUUUAUAUAUAUAUAUAUAUAUGUGUGUGUGUUGAAAGUUACCUAAUCAAUCUUUUUCUGCUACAAUUCUAUUAUCAUUUUGUACAUUUUUAUAAUCCAUGUAAUCUACUCAAAGUGGAUGAGAAUGAACCGAUCAAUCCAUUUGUCAUUUCAUAUAAACUUAUAUCAACUUUAAACCUCAGAGUAUAUAACAUACCGAUUUGUCUGAUGAAGGUGACAGAGUUGAUAACAUACUGAUUUGUCUGAUAAAGGUGACUGAUUUGUCUGAUGAAGGUGACAGAUUUGUCUGAUGAAGGUGACUGAUUUGUCUGAUGAAGGUGACAGAUUUGUCUGAUGAAGGUGACUGAUUAGUCUGAUGAAGGUGACAGAUUUGUCUGAUGAAGGUGACUGAUUUGUCUGAUGAAGGUAACAGAGAACAUAAGUACUAGUUACUGAAAUGUCACAUAUUAUCCUCUCACUGGUUCUGGUAUGAAUGUAUUUAAUCUGCAUAUUUAUUCUUACCAAUCCGAGGAUUUUGUUUUAUAAUGUAGAACAUUUCAACUAAAUUAAAUGUAACCAGAAUUACUGUAAAAUAGUAUGCUGAGAAUCAACAAUCUUUAAAGUUGUUGAAAAGGCAUUUUGAAUAAAGAAAGCAUUAACUAUUAGACAGGUGUGUUCCUUUGAUAGACCUAGCCUGUAAUAUGUAGUGAUUUCGGUAAUUUGGGUUCUUACAGUCAGGUGUGUGGAUACUGCAAACAAUCUCUGCCAUCAUUUUUUUCGUUGACCG